GUCUAUGGCCAUACUAGUCUGAAAGAGCCUGAUCUCGUCAGAUCUCAGAAGUCAUGCAGACUUGAGCCUGUUUAGUACUUGUAUGGGAAACCAACUAGGAACCUCAGGUGCCGUAAGCU
rnacentral:rRNA from 1 species